GAUUCCCUUAGUAACGGCGAGUGAACCGGGAUGAGCUCAAAUUUAAAAUCUGGCGUCUUUCAGGCGUCCGAGUUGUAAUCUAUAGAGGCGUUUUCCGCGCCGGACCGCGUCCAAGUCUCUUGGAAUAGAGUAUCAAAGAGGGUGACAAUCCCGUACUUGACGCGACAACCGGUGCUCUGUGAUACGUUCUCAAUGAGUCGAGUUGUUUGGGAAUGCAGCUCUAAAUGGGUGGUAAAUUCCAUCUAAGGCUAAAUAUUGGCGAGAGACCGAUAGCGAACAAGUACCGUGAGGGAAAGAUGAAAAGCACUUUGGAAAGAGAGUUAAACAGCACGUGAAAUUGUUAAAAGGGAAACGAUUGAAGUCAGUCGUGUGAAAGGUAUUCAGCCGUCUCUGGCGGUGUAUUUGCCUUUCACGGGUCAACAUCAGUUUGAUCCGGUAGAAAAAGGCGGGAGGAAGGUGGCACCCUCGGGUGUGUUAUAGCCUCCUGUCAUAUGUGCCGGACCAGACUGAGGAACGCAGCUUGCCGCAAGGCCGGGGUUCGCCCACGUACAAGCUUAGGA
rnacentral:rRNA from 1 species